UACAUGGGGUGCAAACGUUGCUCGGAAUUAUUGGGCGUAAAGCGCGCGUAGGCGGUUACUUAAGUCGGAUGUGAAAGCCCUCGGCUUAACUGAGGAAGUGCACCCGAAACUGAGUAGCUAGAGUACGAAAGAGGGUCGCGGAAUUCCCGGUGUAGAGGUGAAAUUCGUAGAUAUCGGGAGGAACACCAGUAGCGAAGGCGGCUCGCUGGGCCACACCUGACGCUGAGACGCGAAAGCUAGGGAGGCGAACGAGG
rnacentral:rRNA from 1 species